rnacentral:rRNA from 1 species
UUUAUGGGGUGACUGCGUACCUUUUGUAUAAUGGGUCAGCGACUUAUAUUCUGUAGCAAGGUUAACCGAAUAGGGGAGCCGAAGGGAAACCGAGUCUUAACUGGGCGUUAAGUUGCAGGGUAUAGACCCGAAACCCGGUGAUCUAGCCAUGGGCAGGUUGAAGGUUGGGUAACACUAACUGGAGGACCGAACCGACUAAUGUUGAAAAAUUAGCGGAUGACUUGUGGCUGGGGGUGAAAGGCCAAUCAAACCGGGAGAUAGCUGGUUCUCCCCGAAAGCUAUUUAGGUAGCGCCUCGUGAAUUCAUCUCCGGGGGUAGAGCACUGUUUCGGCAAGGGGGUCAUCCCGACUUACCAACCCGAUGCAAACUGCGAAUACCGGAGAAUGUUAUCACGGGAGACACACGGCGGGUGCUAACGUCCGUCGUGAAGAGGGAAACAACCCAGACCGCCAGCUAAGGUCCCAAAGUCAUGGUUAAGUGGGAAACGAUGUGGGAAGGCCCAGACAGCCAGGAUGUUGGCUUAGAAGCAGCCAUCAUUUAAAGAAAGCGUAAUAGCUCACUGGUCGAGUCGGCCUGCGCGGAAGAUGUAACGGGGCUAAACCAUGCACCGAAGCUGCGGCAGCGACACUAUGUGUUGUUGGGUAGGGGAGCGUUCUGUAAGCCUGUGAAGGUGUACUGUGAGGUAUGCUGGAGGUAUCAGAAGUGCGAAUGCUGACAUAAGUAACGAUAAAGCGGGUGAAAAGCCCGCUCGCCGGAAGAC